UUUGAAAUCUGGGUAGCCUUCGGUUGCCCGAGUUGUAAUCUAGAGAAGUGUUUUCCGUGCCGGCCCAUGUACAAGUCCCUUGGAACAGGGCGUCAUAGAGGGUGAGAAUCCCGUCCUUGACAUGGACCCCCGGUGCUUUGUGAUACACUUUCAACGAGUCGAGUUGUUUGGGAAUGCAGCUCAAAAUGGGUGGUGAAUUCCAUCUAAAGCUAAAUAUUGGCGAGAGACCGAUAGCGAACAAGUACCGUGAGGGAAAGAUGAAAAGCACUUUGGAAAGAGAGUUAAACAGUACGUGAAAUUGUUGAAAGGGAAACGAUUGAAGUCAGUCAUGCUCUUGGGACUUACCUCCCUUGAGUGGGGUCAACAUCAGUUUUGAUCGAUGGAUAAAGGCACGGGGAAGGUAGCACUCUCGGGUGAACUUAUAGCCUCGCGUCAUAUACAUUGAUUGGGACUGAGGAACGCAGCAUGCCUUAUGGCCGGGAUUCGUCCACGUACAUGCUUAGGAUGUU
rnacentral:rRNA from 1 species